CGGGGUGUCGUAUAGUGGUAGUACGCAUGGCUGGGGGUCAUGUAGCCCGAGUUCGAUUCUCGGCAUCCCGACAA
rnacentral:tRNA from 1 species